rnacentral:misc_RNA from 1 species
UCACUACUUGCGUAGGCAGUCUCCCUAGAGUGCCCAGCUUAACCUGAUGGCAACUAAGGGCGAGGGUUGCGCUCGUUGCGGGACUUAACCCAACAUCUCACGACACGAGCCGACGACAGCCAUGCAGCACCUGUGCAUGCUGGUAUUGCUACCUCGUCCCCCUUUCAGGGUUCUACUACAUGCAUGUCAAGGCCAGGUAAGGUUCUUCGCGUUGCAUCGAAUUAAGCCACAUACUCCACCGCUUGUGCAGGCCCCCGUCAAUUUCUUUGAGUUUUAACCUUGCGGCCGUACUCCCCAGGCGGAGUGCUUAACGCGUUGGCUGCGGCACCGCGGGGGUCAAUACCCACAGCACCUAGCACUCAUCGUUUACGGCGUGGACUAC